AUGUCCUCAUCCAAAGGAAUGUACGCCAUUUCUUUGCAAGGAUCGAACAAACUGUACUUUGCACUCUUACUGAAAAUGUUCUGUAGUGCCCCAACGAAGACCGCCGCAAGCAAAGGCGUCAUCCCAAACGUGGCUAGAAGAGGAGUGAGUGGCUCACCAAACAGAAGCAGUGAGAAGAAUCCAACUCCAGUGACAAGCAACACUGCAGGGGUGAUUGUAGCUGCAACUCCCCACCCGAAUUUUCUAAGAAUUAAUCUCCCUAACAACAUCAUUGUAAACGUAGCUAUGCCAGUAGCCGUUGAGAAAUCACCCAUGAAUGAAGAAUACUCGUUAGGACUUGGGAACUGCAACAGAACAACAUAA
rnacentral:rRNA from 1 species